rnacentral:piRNA from 1 species
UAGGUCUUCUGAACCCAAACUGAGG